ensembl:lncRNA
UAGCCACAUAUAGCUAGGCGCUGCCAUAUUGUGCAGUGCAGUUGUAGAAACUGACACUCCAUUAAAGCCACCAGAGAUGACAUUGCCUUCUCUGGCAAGCACAUAUUUAUGGCAUAUAAUGGAGCAUAUUAUCAAUAAACUUUCAUAUCUUUCUUUUCUGUUUAGAAGGCUACUGUAUCGUAUCUUUGUCAUUCUGUAUAUCUGCAAUUAAAUAUUUAAACAUAAAAUUUUACAUCUAUUUCAGGUGAAGUUUUCAGAGGAUCCCCAUCAUUAAAGAUAUUUCUUAUCCUGACUUUUAAAAAUUCAUAACAUUACUUGCUCUACCAAUCCUAUGUUGGUCUCUAUCAUGAAAAGAAUCUAUUCUAUAGCAGAGAUUUUUUUUUUAACCUGAAGAUAAGAAAUGGCCUCUGAGAGGAUGUGAAACUCCUGUAGCUUUUGGUGUGCUUCUACCAUGCUGUUUUUGUUCCCUCCAAGGCAAAGUUAAGUUCAUUAAGUCUGCAAAAAUUAAAAUCAGUAAUCAAUAAUUUGCACCUUGCCCAUUUUACAGAUCAAAAAAUGAAAGCCCCAAGGAUGGAAGACACAGAAGAUGGCGCAGUGGGAGCAACUCAGGAUUGCAGCUCUCAGUGAAGGCGCAGAGGGAGGGAAAAGAAAGAAGAAUAAAAAAACAGAGAUGGAGGAAAGAAGAAGAAAAGAAGGAAGGAUCCAAAGAUGCAAGUACAGGACAUUUUAGAAGAGCGGAAUGCUGCAUUUCGGCUUUCCUGUCUGAUAUAAGCCGUAUGGUGACUGCAUUCCAAAGAGCCCUACCAAGAUUAUUGUCGUGGAGUUAUUUUGCCACUGUGCAUUCCACACUUCAUCUUUGCAGGAAAAUAGAUGGAUUUACUCUGCAUGAAGCAGGGGACAGUCUGUGGAAAGAGGUGAGAAGGACAAUACAAUAGCAAAAGUGAGAAGUGACAAAGAGUGAAAGGUAGUAAUGUCCCCCUCUGCAUACUCCUCUCCAUUCUCUCAGCAUCGGAAUCUAAGUCUGAAGUUUUAGACAAGGCUCAGGCACGGCUUAAACUGUGGAUGCAGCCCCCCUCUCCAGUCCCAAAGGCUCCCAGUCAGCCCUAGGCAUUGUAUAGGGAGCUUCCAAAUGCCUACUCAAGGUUUAAUUAAUUUUCUGCAAAAAAAUGAUUGGUUGACAUGACAGCAAUAAACAUCAAGUUCCAUUAAUUAAUACUGAGACAUCAGUGUCUGCGCUGCUUCUCAAUUACACAUUCAGAGACAGCCACCCUUAUGCUGGCAUAAAUUUGGUCCUGAAGCCCAGUAAGGGCUGUUAAAAUGGAAAGAGGACCAAGGGGAGGGAGGGGAAGGGGGUGGCAUCUGUUCUUAUGCAGAGAUAAUCAGCUUGGAGGAAUUCACACUCCAAAGCCCACUCCCCAGAGAAGAGUUUAAGAGACCUAGAUGAAAGGAUUUCAAUUUGGUUGGGUGAGGCAUUUUCAUUUUGCUGAUGGCCUGGAAGGGAACUAUCAGCUUGAUGAAAACAGAGCUUCCCUCGGGUUCUAAGACAUACUCUUCAAACUGGCUCCCCUCCCAUUGUUCUUUCUUUCUCUCUUUCUUUUUUUCUGAGCUACAGUCAUCUCCAAAUUCAUGUUAAUUCAGAAGAGAGUCAAAGGGGAACAAAAAGCAAUCUUUGCUUCUUCCAGUCAAGGAAAAAUCCCUAAAGGGACCAUGGCUCCCAUCAGGCACAUGCUUUAGGUCCGGGAGACAAAGUAAAAUGUUCUCAUGCACACAUGAAGGGUUAGGUCAUGGAGAUAAAGCAAUGUGAUUAAAUCUUGAUAGAUUUUUGUUUUAAGAGUGAAAAGGAGAAAAAAAUGGCUUUGUUUGCCUGGUUACAAAGACUGCUGUUAGUAAUCUCUGCUUCAUCAGCAUCUUGAUGAGCAUAUUUUCCCUCCCAAGACUAAGGCACCAAGGAAGAAUCUAUUUGAGACCAUCUCUGGCCCAUUCCCACAUGGUGGCUCCAUCCCUGCCCCUUCAUAGGCUCUGCCGUGGGAAGCAGCGGUUUCAUUAUUUUAGCAAUUUUACGAUAACUGUUUGUGACUUCAAUUUAGAAAUUAUAAAAAUAAAACCCUAGCCCCACCCAGACUCAGAGGGCAAUAGGCAAAGUUGAUCAUUGUUACAUUUCUUCCAUACUGUCAUGGGGUAGUAUUAUUUCCUUAUUAAUAAGUUAAUGAUCUUUUCCACUUUAAGGACGGAGAGAUAAGGACCCAAAAACUGAAGCAAUUUGCCCAAGGUCACUCUCCAGAUGGGUUACAGGUCCCUAACAGAUAGUGAGUAUUCAGAACAAGGGUGCAACGGAAGAAGGUGGGAUGAAACAAGAACAUGCUUGCUGCACACUCCAGCUCAGCCUGGAGGCUCCAGGUGCGGAGGUCGGUGGAGUUAAGAUAGGAAGGACUCCUUAUUACCCUUUAUUUCUGUCACCAAGUUCCUAAAGGUUGGAAAGAAGGUGACUGGUCUAGACUAAAAAGUAUGGAGGUGCCCAGAGAGAAAUUAAAUGGUAGAGGUCAGGAUGUAAUGAUCUUGGAUUCAGAUGUACUUUGGUUAUAAAAAAAAAAAAUGAAGAGAAAAGAAAAGGCCCAAUCUGACACAAAGGAUUGGAUGCUGAGAAAGGAGUCAAAAUAUUUCAUUCUAUUCCCAGGUCCCAUCCCUAACUUGCAGAACAAUCUUGAUCAUCGUGCUUAAUGCCUCUAAUCCACAAUCUCAUUUGUUUUGGGAUACUCUGUUAAACCUGCUCUGUGGUCGGGGUUGGGAUGGGAUAAGAACCAAACAGCAUUUGUUCAGCAGAAACCUCCAUUCAUUGACAAAGACCUACACAUGGGGUGGAAGUUAGGUAUCUACCACUUACAAGAACAAUGGCUAAGGCUAAUGAGCUUUUAAUACAUCCCAGGCACUAGGCUACAUAUUUGGCAAACGAGCCCAUUCAAUCUUUACAAAUAUCCUGUGAAAUAAGUACUAGCAUCGCUCUAGGUUGCAAGAUGAGGAAACUGAGGCUCAGAGAUGUUAAGAUUCUUGCCUGAGGGUUUUACAAGUAGGUCGCUGAGCUAAAAAAAAAAAUUUUGUCUAAUUCUGGAGCUCAAGCACUCAUACUGUAGGCCAUUCUACAUGGCAAAAUCACUCCAGUGUAAUUCAGAAAAACCAUCGCUUGCCACCAUUGAACACAAGAGGAAAAACAUCAAAUGGAAGCACACACAUGCAAAAAGGAAACAAUUUCUGGUUCUAAACAACCUCCUAUUUUCCCCAGUCAGUACAGUUUUAAUCCUGUGUCUCAGAUGAGAGUCUACAGGGAAAGAAGGCAAGUAGAGAGGUUUGGGGCAGACACAGCCCUGAAACAUCCUGACCGCCCUACAAAUCUGCACGUGGCUCCCUCUGCUUGACUUCAUUCCAAACAAAUCCAUUAAAAGCACCAUCUUAAUGAAUAUUUUAUACAGUUAUGACAUAGUGAGUCCCAUUUAGGAGGGGCUCAUACUAAAGGCUGAGACAAUGAACUACUCAAAUAGCCAACAAAUCAGCAAGACCAACAGAAAUCUGGUCAAGGGGCACAAAAGUUUUACACAGAGGAAGAAAAUGAGAGUCAUAUACUCUCUUCUUGCUGGUUAAAGAUUAAAACAAACAAACAAACAAACUCUAUCUACCAUGUUCAAAUACAGCUGGCUAUUAGGAGAACUCACCUGUUUAAUUCAUUUGCUUUCCUCGGCCCCUUUCUGAAGAAAGUCAGUGUACAUAUUUGCUUGUUUUUGUUAAAUUAGGAUCUAUCUUUGAGUUCUUAGUAAACAUGCACAUACACUCAAACACACACACACACACACACACACACACACACACACACACGCCUUUACCUAUUUCCCCUAGAAACAGAGUCAAGGAGAGAAUCCUCAGGGACAAAUUCAGUGAUGUCCCAGGUACUGUUUCCCCAAGUCUUGCCCCUGAUGCAGGAGAAUCUGGUGUGAUUCAAAGACUUUAGAGGAGAAAAAAGGCUGAUCCUACAUCCCAGAGAGUAAAUCAGUGGCCUGGGUGCCAAUGCACCUGUGGAUGGAUUCUGUCUGCUCUGCCAGCCGUGACUUCCCUACUGUUUUCGUUGUUGUUGCUAUUGUUGUUGUUUACUUGAGGCACAGUUACACUCUUGUUGCCCAGGCUGGAGCGCAAUGGCGCAAUCUCAGCCCACUGCAACCUCCGCCUCCUGGGUUCAAGUGAUUCUCCUGCCUCAGCCUCCCGAGUAGAGGGGAUUACAGGUGCCCACCACCAUGCCCAGCUAAUUUUUUGUAUUUUUAGGAGACUGAGUUUCUCCACAUUGGCCAGGCUGGUCUCUAACUCCUGGCUUUAGGUGAUCCACCCCGCCUUGGCUCCCAAAGUCCUGGGAUUACAGGUGUGAGCCAUCAUGCCCGGCCUUGCCUACAGUUUUUAAGAAAUUUGAAUUCAUUGUUAACAUUUAAAAAUGAAGAGAUUUUACAGGCUUUUCUGGGUUUCUGAGUUCUCUUGAAAGAUGAAAAGACCUGACUCACAUCACAGAGUCUAAUUUCCUACACAGCCACAGUCAGCUGGAGCCGAGUUGUAGCUGAGAGAAGGGCUGGGACCCCCAGUUCCCAGCCCCCACGGUGUUUCCCCAAACAGAAAGACAGGAUCCAUUGGCAUUUGUCACUACCCAUGUGGCUGUUUUCCUUAGAGUUAAAAGGAGAGCAAGGUAUUUUUAUUUCCACAUCUCUAUCUAAAGUGGGAAAAUGAAUGACAGAUUAGGAUAACCAUGUAUUUAAAGAAAAAGGAGAGGAAACCAUAAGCCUAAUUCUGUGGGGGAGUAAAGAUUAUGUAUUUGUAUUAGAUUUCAAGUAAGGUUCUCACCUGGUCCCUGUGGGCAUUUGAGAUUGACACGCUGGUCUAAAGUUGUUGAGGAUACCUGGAAAUUGGUCUUUAGGCUCCAUUUUAAUUCCCAUAAUUCCGGGUGGCUUCCUUAGUACUUGGCCCAGUGCCAGGCAUAUAGGAGAUGUGCUGAAAAAUAAAAUACAUAAUGAACGAAAAUUACAUGGCACUCUUUCCCUCUCUUCAUUUGAAUAGAUUUCUGGGAAUCACCCUACUCCACAGUACCAUCCUCCUUUCUUGCCGAUUUAAGAAUCUUUUUAGAGCCUUUUCUGCUAUCUAUAAAGCUCUAUUUUAGGACCAAUCAGACUGGAAAGAGCCUGCUAAUGGGAUCACACAGAGAUUUUAGUGACUGCUUUGAUAAAGUAUUCACUUGGAGACCAGCCAAACUUAGAUUUAAAUUCCAGCUUUGCCACUCACUAUCUUAGCCAGUGUUUCCCAAGAGCAGAGCCUGAGAUAAAGAUGUGUGUGGAGGUGGCUCAUUAAGGAAAGUGAUCUGGAAUAAGGGCCAGAGAAGCGAAGAGGAAAAAAGGAAAAAGAACAAUGCAAGGAAGCCUGAACUGCUGCAAGCAAUUGGUUAUCUCACACAGGAACUUACAAGGAGCCUUCUGAAAUGUGUGUGGGAUCCAUCCGCUAGCAACAAUGGCC